CAAAAGUUUGGUCCUGACUUUAUUGUCAGCUUUAGCUAGAUUUAUACAUGCAAGUAUCCGCGAACCCGUGAGGAUGCCCUAUGUGCCCCCGCCCGGGGCCAAGGAGCUGGUAUCAGGCUCAUCUUAUACAUUUCAUGACGCCCCAUGUCCUGUCUCGCCCAUAACACCUUGCUCAGCCACACCCCCAAGGGUAUUCAGCAGUAAUAAACCUUGAGCCAUAAGCGAAAGCUUGACUCAGUUAAAGCUAAGAGAGUUGGUUAACCUCGUGCCAGCCACCGCGGUUAUACGAGGGACUCAAGUUGACAAUCUCCGGCGUAAAGCGUGGUUAAAUAUUUAUACACAAACUAAAGCCGAAAACAUUCACAGCAGUCAUACGCAUGGAAGUAAUAAGCCCACUUACGAAAGUAGCUUUACAAUAUUUUGAGUCCACGAAAACUGGGAAACAAACUGGGAUUAGAUACCCCACUAUGCCCAAUCUUAAACACAAACGAGACGCCACGUCCUCGUUCGCCUGGUAACUACGAGCUCAUCUAAAUUCAAGCUUAAAAACCAAAGGACUUGGCGGUGCUUCAAACCCCCCUAGAGGAGCCUGUUCUAUAACCGAUAAUCCCCGUUAAACCUCACCCUUCCCAGCCCAAUUCCAGCUUAUAUACCGCCGUCGUCAGCUUACCCCGUGAGGGUCCACCCCAAAAGUAGGCGCAAUUGGUCUAUCCCCAGCAAGUCAGGUCGAGGUGUAGCCUAUGGAAGGGGAAGAAAUGGGCUACAUUCUCUACAGCAGAGAAUACAGAGGAUCGUCCUGAAACAAGACAUCCAAAGGUGGAUUUAGCAGUAAGGAGGGGAACAGAGUGCCCCCCUGAAGACGGCCCUGAAGUGCGUACACACCGCCCGUCACUCUCCCCAAGCACCGUCGCAACAACCUAAAUAAAACAUAAGAAAAGCACAGGGGAGGCAAGUCGUAACAUGGUAAGUGUACCAGAAGGUGUACUUGGAUAAU
rnacentral:ncRNA from 1 species